CCUACGGGUGGCCGCAGUGGGGAAUAUUGGACAAUGGGCGAAAGCCUGAUCCAGCCAUGCCGCGUGUGUGAAGAAGGCCUUCGGGUUGUAAAGCACUUUCAGUGGGGAAGAAAGCCUUGGGGCUAAUACCCUCGAGGAAGGACAUCACCCACAGAAGAAGCACCGGCUAACUCCGUGCCAGCAGCCGCGGUAAUACGGAGGGUGCGAGCGUUAAUCGGAAUUACUGGGCGUAAAGCGCGCGUAGGCGGUCUGAUAAGCCGGUUGUGAAAGCCCCGGGCUCAACCUGGGAACGGCAUCCGGAACUGUCAGGCUAGAGUGCAGGAGAGGAAGGUAGAAUUCCCGGUGUAGCGGUGAAAUGCGUAGAGAUCGGGAGGAAUACCAGUGGCGAAGGCGGCCUUCUGGACUGACACUGACGCUGAGGUGCGAAAGCGUGGGUAGCAAACAGGAUUAGAUACCCCAGUAGUC
rnacentral:rRNA from 1 species